GACGAACGCUGGCGGCGUGCCUAAUACAUGCAAGUAGAACGCACAGUUUAUACCGUAGCUUGCUACACCAUAGACUGUGAGUUGCGAACGGGUGAGUAACGCGUAGGUAACCUGCCUGGUAGCGGGGGAUAACUAUUGGAAACGAUAGCUAAUACCGCAUAAUAUUAAUUAUUGCAUGAUAAUUAAUUGAAAGGUGCAAUUGCACCACUACCAGAUGGACCUGCGUUGUAUUAGCUAGUAGGUGAGGUAACGGCUCACCUAGGCGACGAUACAUAGCCGACCUGAGAGGGUGAUCGGCCACACUGGGACUGAGACACGGCCCAGACUCCUACGGGAGGCAGCAGUAGGGAAUCUUCGGCAAUGGACGAAAGUCUGACCGAGCAACGCCGCGUGAGUGAAGAAGGUUUUCGGAUCGUAAAGCUCUGUUGUAAGAGAAGAACGGGUGUGAGAGUGGAAAGUUCACACUGUGACGGUAUCUUACCAGAAAGGGACGGCUAACUAUGUG
rnacentral:rRNA from 1 species